rnacentral:misc_RNA from 1 species
GUUUGUUUACCGAGGCGUUAGUUUGCGGUUUACUCAAUGGAUGGCGCUGUUAUCUACUAUUCUAGCGGUAUCUGGCAUCUUUACUGGCGACACGAAUUUCUUAUGGUGAAUGGCAAUCUUUCCAGUCUUAUUUUAUCUAUAGUCUUUGUCAAGACUUCCUAUCGAGCAUGAUUGGCCAGAUUCAUUGCCUCCUUGCAUGGAACCUCCAUCCAGCAUCCCCACUCCACUACCCGAUAUCUCCGUGAUGCAGACUAUCACAAAAACAUCCUCCCUAAACAUGGAGAUAGUUGUGGUGGUGGUUAUGGUGGUGGUAGUGGUAGUGGUGGUAUUAGUGGUGGUGGUCUGUUGCAAGAAGUGUUUGGCAUCAUGUGAGGUUCCAGUCCCAGACUGCCGCUCCCAGCCACCACCUGCAGCUCACCACCGGCCAAGGACGCACCCCAGACCAAGACGAGGACCACAUCUAUUACGAAAUCCUGCCUGACCUCUCAGAACGCCGAGUGGUGGUGCCGCGGCCUGCACGGGACCCAGAGGAGCCCUUCCACGAUGUCGUGAUGCCUGAGCGCAGCGUGUGGUCUCACGCACCUGUCUACGAGAACAUGCCUCUUCCAAGCGGUACUGCUUCUCCUCACAGGCUCAUGGAGGCUCCGGGAGUCAGUGAGUCACAUAUGUACGACACGGUGGUGUAGGCAACGUGCACUGCAGUCACGAGGAUGUAAGGAAGCAAGUCUCUGUGUUUUCUGGAGCACCAUAGUGCUCGCUUGUCACUCAAGUGUCUGUCAAUGAUGUGUUGAUUUGCUUAGCUUGGUUUGUUUUAGCGAUACUUAUCUUUGUUUGUGACUUUGUCCAAAAGUGGCCUUGUUUCACUGGUGCAGCCAGUGACCUGUGUGCACUACUUUCGGGGGCACCGGUCCAGUGUGCACUCCCUGCUGGGGCGCUGGGCCAGUGUGCAAUUCUUGCUGGGGCGCAGGGCCAAUGUGCACUCCCUGCUGCGGCGCCGGGCCAGUGUGCACUCCUUGCUGGGGCGCUGGGCCAGUGUGCACUCCCUGCUGGGGCGCCGGGCCAGUGUGCACUCCUCGCUAUGGCGCCGGGCCAGUGUGCAUUCCCUGCUGGUGCGGCGGGCCAGUGAGCACUCCCUGCUGGGGCGUCGGGCCAUGCAGUGUGCACUCCCUGCAUGGAAAUGAUUUGCAUAGUAUUAAUUAAUUUGGCCAUAUUUUUCAUUAUUGUUGUAGACUGGCUCUGUGUUGCAAUGCCAUUGUAAUAAACACCGAAGCUG